rnacentral:rRNA from 1 species
UACGUAGGUGGCAAGCGUUGUCCGGAAUUACUGGGCGUAAAGGGCGUGUAGGCGGCUUUUUAAGUCAGACGUGAAACCCCUGGGCUUAACCCAGGAACUGCGUUUGAAACUGGAUAGCUUGAGGACCGGAGAGGACAGUGGAAUUCCCAGUGUAGCGGUGAAAUGCGUAGAUAUUGGGAGGAACACCAGUGGCGAAGGCGACUGUCUGGACGGCACCUGACGCUGAGGCGCGAAAGCCAGGGGAG